CUCAGCGGCUGAGUGUGGCUUCACUUUGGAGUUUCUUAAAUUCCUAGCCUUCUUAAAAGUUUUCAUUUUUUUCUCCUCUCCUCCAUUGAAACACCACCCAUCCAUUAAAGCUUUAGUUUUGUUGAAGGAGAACCCAUUGUUGAAGAUUUGAGUGCUUCCUCAACCUCUAAAGUUCUCAUUUUUCUGUUCCCAAAAUGAUCCUAGAUCUGUGAGUGCAUUGGAUUCUAUUAGUGGUGUGGACCCUUGUGAUACCGAGUUCGAGUCGGAGGGGCAUACGGGUACAUGUUCAGGUAGUAUUGAGGCUUCUAGUGGCAGGAGGCCAGAGCUUAGUUGAUUGAUGAUUAUUAUGCUGCUGUUAUGCUGGAUUGCAUGCUGUUUAUACUUUUAGUUUCAGUUUACGUAUGGAGUAUUAUGUGGAGACUCUGUUAUUAUUGCUGUUUGUUUGGUAAGCAUGGGGAUUGUCCAUGACACACAGUCUGUUUAUGUCUUAGUCUUAUGUCGGGAGUUGUAAUAAUUAAUCAGGAUUAUUGUCCGGACUCCGAGUGUGGACCCGUGAUAGAUACUCACUCUUUAUUUUUAUAUUGAGGUAUUUCAGUUAGUUGUCUUGC